UCUUGGUCCAUUAGAGGAAGUAAAAGUCGUAACAAGGUUUCCGUAGGUGAACCUGCGGAAGGAUCAUUACCGAGUGAGGGCCCUCUGGGUCCAACCUCCCACCCGUGUUUAUUUUACCUUGUUGCUUCGGCGGGCCCGCCUUAACUGGCCGCCGGGGGGCUUACGCCCCCGGGCCCGCGCCCGCCGAAGACACCCUCGAACUCUGUCUGAAGAUUGUAGUCUGAGUGAAAAUAUAAAUUAUUUAAAACUUUCAACAACGGAUCUCUUGGUUCCGGCAUCGAUGAAGAACGCAGCGAAAUGCGAUACGUAAUGUGAAUUGCAAAUUCAGUGAAUCAUCGAGUCUUUGAACGCACAUUGCGCCCCCUGGUAUUCCGGGGGGCAUGCCUGUCCGAGCGUCAUUUCUGCCCUCAAGCACGGCUUGUGUGUUGGGCCCCGUCCUCCGAUCCCGGGGGACGGGCCCGAAAGGCAGCGGCGGCACCGCGUCCGGUCCUCGAGCGUAUGGGGCUUUGUCACCCGCUCUGUAGGCCCGGCCGGCGCUUGCCGAUCAACCCAAAUUUUUAUCCAGGU
rnacentral:rRNA from 1 species